GGCAAACCACGGGAAACAUCUCUUUAAGGGAACCAAAUGUCACUAUCUCUUGGGACCCGAGGAAUUCCAGCAACCAGACUUACAUCUGCAGAGCCGAGAAUGCUGUCAGCAAUUUGUCGGUCUCUGUCUCUACCCAGAGUCUCUGCAAAGAUUUAACUAAUCAACCCUGGACUAAAGCACAGCUUACAGCUAUAAUUUCAAUACCCAUGGUUGUAGUUAUUCCCGUCUUUCUGUACAUGUGCAUAUAUCUUUGGAAGAGAAGAAGAGGUUCUCUUCCUCUGACUCGCCAACAUCCAGAUUCCUCCCAGAGCUCAGAUACUCCCGGCUCUCCUGGGAACACAGUGUAUGCACAAGUCAGUCACCCGAUGCAGGAAAUGAAAAUCCAAAAUCCUAUAAAAAAUGACUCCAUGACAAUUUACUCCAUAGUUAAUCACUCCAGAGAGCCCGUUUCUCCUAGGCUGAAUACUCUUAAGGACAUCAAGUAAGUUGGUGAAAGACUUUAAAGAAAGCCAAGCAGAACACACCUCCUGAUCCCUUGGAAGAGCACAGAAAAGAAGCCUGUUUUCCAACCGGCAAUGGGAUCCAGAUACCCAGGGUGAUCACUUCAGACUUGAUCCUCCAUACACAUGUCAGACGCUUCAGGAGUGGCAGGAUCUGUAGAGACAUAACCCCAAAAUUGCUUUCCAAUCAAAUCCAGGACAAAUCCUGCUUUGGAUAACAUACCCACGUGCUGCUUCCUCUCUGAUAACUAA
rnacentral:lncRNA from 1 species